AUUCUCUCCUUUUCUCUCAGUUCCAGUCCAGGCUGGUGUGAUAACAGGGGCCAUUAUUGGCGUAGUGUUGGGACUGCUGAUCCUCAUUGUGGCAAUUUACUAUCUGAUGCGUUUCCUGGUCGCCAGACGAGUGUUCAGCUUGAGCAUGAGUAAACAUGGCAAGAAAGGCAAAGGAAAAGAAGGAUCACAGCAAAAA